rnacentral:lncRNA from 1 species
GGAAACUUGAUAACACACAGAAAAAGCAUCCCACCUUUAGCACAUAAACUGUACAAGUUAAUCUCUUAGUGAAUAAAUAAUUCAUUUCACUAAAAAGAAAAAAAAAGUUGAGUUGGAAAAACACAAAAAGGUUACGCAUCUCCUGCACAAUCUCUUUCAUACAGUAACUGAGAAACCAAAUACCCAUAAAACAUUUAAAAGCAAACCUGUAGAAACAAAUCUCUUUGCUAGCCUGACAAGAAAAGGAGUCUCAAAGCUGUGUAUGCGUCUGGACAGUUCCCUGGUGCUGAAGUUCCACAGCGCUAAACCGAUGCCUGGGUGCUGCUUUUACUAUCCCACCCUCGCCAAAAUCCCGGAUGCCUACACUACGAACACUAGUAGUAAAACUUCACAAGUAGAUCCCCGUCCUAGGCCCUGCACUAUUUUCUACUGGUAA